CAUGCUUAAAUAUAUAUAUAUAUCUGUGUGUGUGUGUGUGUGUGUGUGUGUGUGUGUAUGUAAAUGUGUGUGCGUAUAACUUACGAUAAUUUACGAGCAUGUAGCAUAUGCCACACCCUUAAACUAUUUCUAUUUUCUUUCUAUUCGUACGUCUAACUCGCGUCUAGCUGCAAUAUAAAAGUGCAUCCUAACAACAAAAAUAUUGCACAUCUUUCUAGAGCAUGCUUUGUUCUCUCUGAAAAUCAAUCUUACAUUGAAAGCUUAUCUGUCACAACUUGUUUUAUCUCGUGCUUCUCACCAAAGCCUCACAUAUAUUUAUAUAGGUAUGUGGGUGUGUGUGCAUGUAUUAAUGUAUAUUCAUACAUACAUACAUACAUACAUACAUACAUACAUACAUAUAUAUAUAUAUAUAUAUAUAUAUAUAUAUAUAUACAUACACACACACACAAACAUGCAUAUAAACUGCUGUAAGAAUAAGCCAUGUUUUUAGAUGUGGCCCACAUUCAAUACUUUUUCUUUAGUUUGCUGGUGUAUUUUUUUCCACUAGUUGUUAUUUGGAUCUAGAAAGACAAAUUGUAUUUGAGAAACAAAAUAAUUGAUGAAAGAAUUUUAUAUAAUUUAGGACUGGUUUAGUUUCGUUGUCAAAAUAACAUUAGAUGAAUUCCACAGAUCUGAAAGAAUAAUUUGCCGUCAUUAACGACCUAGUGUGAAAAUCUUAUGUGUGUGUGUGUGUAUGUGUGUGUCUGUGUGUGUCUGUGUCUGUGUGUGUCUGUGUGUGUCUGUGUGUCUACCUGUCCUUUGAGGUGUCGGUUCGGUUCGUUAUGAUAUGUAUAUUUACAAACAGUGAUAAACUUUCAAAUAUGUGAAGUACGCGUGAAUAUUUCAUAAGUGACAACAGAUUAUGAAUAUUACUGGAAUAAUUAUGCUUACAAAUACUCAAAGAUAUGAAUAUUCACGAAUAGAACAUAUCUCAAAUAAUUAUAUAUAUAUAUAUAAAUCCAUGCAUCUGUAAUUUAUGCCUGUAAUAUGCAUAUUGUUAAUAUUUCUGUGUUUAUGUGAUAUAUCUGAUGUCGUUCGAAAAAGCAAAUUCUGUUGGAAGAUUCAACAAUAAAGAACCGAACUGAUACUCUCACCUACAAAGAAACCUAAUCAGUCCGAAAGUGGAACUUCUAAAAGCAACUGUUUUUGCCCCAAAUUUAUCAAUCACAACAGAAUACGAUAAAUAUUUGCAGUCAAAUAACUCCCUAUCCAGCUUAACUUUUAAACUUGAAACGUAAAAUGAUUUACUAGUGACAUCAAGUAUCAUAAUCCGGGAUUAUUUCAUAAUUUCCCUUGAGAAAAAUUAACCAUAAUUAAAGACUAACUGCUUGCUGUGAUGCCCCCUCCGGUAUUGAUUUCAGCUAUUGAUUUAUGUCUUGGAUAAUAACCUCGGCUAUUGAUCUAUAUCUUCUAGCUAACACUCCAGUGUGUUUACUCGAGCAUUUUAUUUACAUGUUUGUUAAUUUUUUAAUGUUUCUUCUUUUUUUUUUUGUUUUAAACGAUAAAACUGGAUCGAUUUUGAAUUUCAUUUAUUUAUUUUUACUUAAAAGGUUCUAUUAGCUGACAGUUUAAUAUACCGAACUUCAAAACAUAAUCUGCCAGAAAUGUAUUUCUAUUUAAAAAAUACAACUCACUGAAAAAAUACUUCCUAAUAAAGAAUAAUGUAUAAA
rnacentral:lncRNA from 1 species